UAAGUUAAUAAGGGCGCACGGUGGAUGCCUUGGCACUAGGAGCCGACGAAGGACGUGACAAACGACGAUAUGCCUUGGGUAGCUGUAAGUAAGCGAUGAUCCAGGGAUUUCCGAAUGGGGGAACCCAACAGGUAAUACCUGUUACCUACAUCUGUUAAGGAUGUGAGGAGGAAGACGCAGUGAACUGAAACAUCUAAGUAGCUGCAGGAAGAGAAAGCAAAAGCGAUUGCCUUAGUAGCGGCGAGCGAAACGGCAGAAGGGCAAACCGAAGAGUUUACUCUUCGGGGUUGUAGGACUGCAAUGUGGACUCAAAGAUUAUAGAAGAAUGAUUUGGGAAGAUCAGCCAAAGAGAGUAAUAGCCUCGUAUUUAAAAUAGUCUUUGUACUUAGCAGUAUCCUGAGUACGGCGGGACACGUGAAAUCCCGUCGGAAUCUGGGAGGACCAUCUCCCAACCCUAAAUACUCCCUAGUGACCGAUAGUGAACCAGUACCGUGAGGGAAAGGUGAAAAGCACCCCGGGAGGGGAGUGAAAUAGAACCUGAAACCGUGUGCCUACAACAAGUUCGAGCCCGUUAAUGGGUGAGAGCGUGCCUUUUGUAGAAUGAACCGGCGAGUUACGUUAUGAUGCGAGGUUAAGUUGAAGAGACGGAGCCGUAGGGAAACCGAGUCUGAAUAGGGCGCCUUAGUAUCAUGACGUAGACCCGAAACCAUGUGACCUACCCAUGAGCAGGUUGAAGGUGCGGUAAGACGCACUGGAGGACCGAACCAGGGCACGUUGAAAAGUGCUUGGAUGACUUGUGGGUAGCGGAGAAAUUCCAAACGAACUUGGAGAUAGCUGGUUCUCUCCGAAAUAGCUUUAGGGCUAGCGUCGACAUUAGAGAUUCUUGGAGGUAGAGCACUGUUUGGGUGAGGGGUCCAUCCCGGAUUACCAAUCUCAGAUAAACUCCGAAUGCCAAUGAAUUAUGGUCGGCAGUCAGACUGCGAGUGCUAAGAUCCGUAGUCGAAAGGGAAACAGCCCAGACCACCAGCUAAGGUCCCAAAAUAAUUGUUAAGUGGAAAAGGAUGUGGGGUUGCACAGACAACUAGGAUGUUAGCUUAGAAGCAGCUAUUCAUUCAAAGAGUGCGUAAUAGCUCACUAGUCGAGUGACCCUGCGCCGAAAAUGUACCGGGGCUAAACAAUUUACCGAAGCUGUGGAUACCUUUAUAGGUAUGGUAGGAGAGCGUUCUAUGUGUGAUGAAGGUAUACCGUGAGGAGUGCUGGAACGCAUAGAAGUGAGAAUGCCGGUAUGAGUAGCGAAAGACAGGUGAGAAUCCUGUCCACCGUAAGACUAAGGUUUCCAGGGGAAGGCUCGUCCGCCCUGGGUUAGUCGGGACCUAAGGAGAGACCGAAAGGUGUAUCCGAUGGACAACAGGUUGAUAUUCCUGUACUAGAGUAUGUAGUGAUGGAGGGACGCAGUAGGCUAACUAAAGCAGACGAUUGGAAGAGUCUGUCUAAGCAGUGAGGUGUGAAUUGAGUCAAAAUGCUUAAUUCUAUAACAUUGAGCUGUGAUGGGGAGCGAAGUUUAGUAGCGAAGUUAGUGACGUCACACUGCCAAGAAAAGCUUCUAGCGUUUAAACAUACUCUACCCGUACCGCAAACCGCACAGGUAGUCGAGGCGAGUAGCCUCAGGUGAGCGAGAGAACUCUCGUUAAGGAACUCGGCAAAAUGACCCCGUACUUCGGGAGAAGGGGUGCUGACUUAAAGUCAGCCGCAGUGAAUAGGCCCAAGCAACUGUUUAUCAAAAACACAGCUCUCUGCUAAAUCGUAAGAUGAUGUAUAGGGGGUGACGCCUGCCCGGUGCUGGAAGGUUAAGAGGAGUGCUUAGCGUAAGCGAAGGUAUGAAUUGAAGCCCCAGUAAACGGCGGCCGUAACUAUAACGGUCCUAAGGUAGCGAAAUUCCUUGUCGGGUAAGUUCCGACCCGCACGAAAGGCGUAAUGAUUUGGGCACUGUCUCAACGAGAGACUCGGUGAAAUUUUAGUACCUGUGAAGAUGCAGGUUACCCGCGACAGGACGGAAAGACCCCAUGGAGCUUUACUGCAGUUUGAUAUUGAGUGUCUGUACCACAUGUACAGGAUAGGUAGGAGUCUAAGAAAUCGGGACGCCAGUUUCGAAGGAGACGCUGUUGGGAUACUACCCUUGUGUUAUGGCCACUCUAACCCAGAUAGGUGAUCCCUAUCGGAGACAGUGUCUGACGGGCAGUUUGACUGGGGCGGUCGCCUACCUAAAAGGUAACGGAGGCGCCCAAAGGUUCCCUCAGAAUGGUUGGAAAUCAUUCGCAGAGUGUAAAGGUAUAAGGGAGCUUGACUGCGAGAGCUACAACUCGAGCAGGGACGAAAGUCGGGCUUAGUGAUCCGGUGGUUCCGUAUGGAAGGGCCAUCGCUCAACGGAUAAAAGCUACCCUGGGGAUAACAGGCUUAUCUCCCCCAAGAGUUCACAUCGACGGGGAGGUUUGGCACCUCGAUGUCGGCUCGUCGCAUCCUGGGGCUGUAGUCGGUCCCAAGGGUUGGGCUGUUCGCCCAUUAAAGCGGCACGCGAGCUGGGUUCAGAACGUCGUGAGACAGUUCGGUCCCUAUCCGUCGCGGGCGUAGGAAAUUUGAGAGGAUCUGCUCCUAGUACGAGAGGACCAGAGUGGACUUACCGCUGGUGUACCAGUUGUCUUGCCAAAGGCAUCGCUGGGUAGCUAUGUAGGGAAGGGAUAAACGCUGAAAGCAUCUAAGUGUGAAACCCACCUCAAGAUGAGAUUUCCCAUGAUUAUAUAUCAGUAAGAGCCCUGAGAGAUGAUCAGGUAGAUAGGUUAGAAGUGGAAGUGUGGCGACACAUGUAGCGGACUAAUACUAAUAGCUCGAGGACUUAUCCA
rnacentral:rRNA from 1 species